rnacentral:ncRNA from 1 species
AGCGACCAAGAAUCUCAAGGAAGUCUAAAGCACAAUUUCAGUCCUAAGUACACGAAUCACAUUAUAACUGGAUGAGUUUGCAACACAAAACAAAGCCCUUAUCUUGCGAAAGUUAUUACUGUAAAUGUGGCGGAUAUAUGAAAUGCAAGAUU